rnacentral:misc_RNA from 1 species
GGAAGUAAAAGUUAACAAGGUCUCCGUUGGUGAACCAGCGGAGGGAUCAUUAUCGAGUUUAUAACUCCCAAACCCUAUGUGAACUUACCACUUGUUGCUUCGGCGCGCGCUUCGGUGCCGCCGAGGACACUUAAACUCUUUGUUUUUAUAAGCAUUUCUGAGUGGCCGAAAGGCAAAAUACAAAUGAAUCAAAGCUUUCAACAACGGAUCUCUUGGUUCUG